rnacentral:tRNA from 1 species
GCAGUGGUGGUUCAGUGGUAGAAAGAAUUCUUGCCUUCCAUGCAGAAGACCAAGGUUCGACUCUUGGCCACUACA